rnacentral:rRNA from 1 species
UACAGAGGGUGCAAGCGUUAAUCGGAAUUACUGGGCGUAAAGCGUGUGUAGGUGGUUUGCUAAGUCAGGUGUGAAAUCCCUGGGCUCAACCUAGGAAUUGCAUUUGAUACUGGUAAUCUAGAGUGCGGUAGAGGAUGGUGGAAUUCCCGGUGUAGCGGUGAAAUGCGUAGAUAUCGGGAGGAACAUCAGUGGCGAAGGCGGCCAUCUGGACUGACACUGACACUGAGACACGAAAGCGUGGGGAGCAAACAGGAUUAGAAACCCCCGUAGUCC